CCCUGUUCUUUAUUAUCUUCUUCUUCUCUCUUUCCAGAUGUGUCCAUGCUACAAUUGUAGGGCUGUACUCUUCAAUUUGAUGGUGCAUCAAAAGGAAAUCCUGGAGUAGCUGGUGCUGGAGCUGUACUGCGAGCAGAUGAUGGAACCUUGAUCUGUAAACUACGUGAAGGUCUGGGUGUUGCAACCAGUAACGCUGCUGAGUACCGAGCUGUUAUUUUAGGGUUAAAAUAUGCGCUUAAAAAAGGUUUUUCCAGGAUCUUUGUUCAAGGUGACUCCAAACUCGUCUGUAUGCAGGUUCAGGGUUUAUGGCAGGUGAAAAACCAGAACUUGUCUACUUUGUAUGAAGAGGUGAAGAAACUGAAGGAUGGAUUUGUCUCCUUCAAGAUCAGUCAUGUUCUUAGGGAGCUAAAUUCUGGGGCAGAUGCUCAAGCAAACUUGGCAAUCACUCUUGCCGAUGGUCAAGUCCAGGAAGAGUCUGGGAAGUAGUUAAAAUGAUUGUCUGUUGCUGGUUAUGUUCUGGGUUCGUAAAUAUGAUAUCAUGAAACCCUGAUGAGUAGAGGAUUCUUUGGCUUCCCUCGUAUUAAUCUGAGAAUGUGGCUUGGUACUUGCUACAAUGUGACCUCCGGCAUAGAAUUAAACAUCACAAGGCAUGAUUCAACUGCAAAACUGAAGCUUAUGUGGAUGUAGAGCCAGGUACACCAGGAUCAAAUAACUCGUUACACAAGUGACAUUCAGAUUGACAAGCUACUAGCCUUUGAAAAAAGAAAGACGUAGAAUUUUUGUUUAUAGCGGGAACGAUCGGAGCAGAAUAUGAAAACUCUUACUAGCAUUAUUCAUAGUUCUUUCACUUUGCAAUAAGGUUCUUUUGGAGUUUCUAUAUAUCUUUUCACGUCCAUGGAGCAGUUAUCA